rnacentral:snRNA from 1 species
AUCACUUCUCGGCCUUUUGGCUAAGAUCAAGUGUGGAGAAUUAAAUGAGAAAUAUGCAUGUAUUUGAGAAUAGACUGCUACCCAGGUAGGUCCUGUUUUUAAACUUUCUAUUUUGGUUUUGUCUUUGAAAUAAAUUGACAAAUAAAAUACCUAAU